rnacentral:rRNA from 1 species
AUUGAACGCUGGCGGCAUGCAUUACACAUGCAAGUCGAACGGUAACAGGCCGCAAGGUGCUGACGAGUGGCGAACGGGUGAGUAAUGCAUCGGAACGUGCCCAGUCGUGGGGGAUAACUACUCGAAAGAGUAGCUAAUACCGCAUACGAUCUAUGGAUGAAAGCGGGGGACCGUAAGGCCUCGCGCGAUUGGAGCGGCCGAUGUCAGAUUAGGUAGUUGGUGGGGUAAAGGCUCACCAAGCCAACGAUCUGUAGCUGGUCUGAGAGGACGACCAGCCACACUGGGACUGAGACACGGCCCAGACUCCUACGGGAGGCAGCAGUGGGGAAUUUUGGACAAUGGGCGCAAGCCUGAUCCAGCAAUGCCGCGUGCAGGAAGAAGGCCUUCGGGUUGUAAACUGCUUUUGUACGGAACGAAACGGCUCUGGUUAAUACCCGGGGCUAAUGACGGUACCGUAAGAAUAAGCACCGGCUAACUACGUG